CAACAAACGAAAAUUAACCUACAUUCAACUUCUAUCAAUUUCUCAAUUCCACCCCCCGCUAGCUUUGUUUUUGUCAAUUACACCAAAAUUACUCCAAUUUGUUUCACAUAUCGCCGAAAUCACGUCGUCAAGCACAUAACCAUAACAUCAUAAUAUCAACAAAAUUCAACAAUUAUGACCACUCCAUACAUAAUCAAAACCAAUUCAACCAAUCAAGAUAAAAGAGAAUGAGUUAAAGAGAUGGACCUCGAUAGAACUUGUUUUCCUUGAUAAUAAAAAAAAUCCGAGACUGAAAUUCUCGAACAAGAACCCCAAUGACGAACGAACCGAAAUCAGUAUAGAGAUCUAACCCGAACAGAUUAAGAACCAAUGGAAAAUCUCAAAAUAGACGAACCCAGCCCUAUAUCAAAAACCCCAAAGCACGAUAUCGAAAGACAAAUCGUGAACAAACGAGAACCAAAGUAUCCAAAAUCCGAGCAAUAGAUGAAAACCAGUACAAACCUUAGCUCCGGCGAGCUGUGAGGGGAAAAAGCUGACGAAAAAGGUCAGAUUUCGACGACACAAUAACUUGAAACCAAAUUUCAUUUCCCCUUUCAAUUCUCCCCUCUAUCUCUCACUUGAUUUCACUCUCUCUUCCCCUCCAAUUCUCAAAUCUUCCUCAGAUCUGUGCGUGUAUUGAUAUGUCGAUAGGAGGUCCAAGGUGGGUCGGAGAUAUGAUGGUGCGUGAGUAUGAGAUGAAGAUGAUGAUAAAACCCCCUUCAAUAUUGGUUCCUAUAUCUGUAUAUGUACUCAAUCAAGAAGAAAACCAAAAGAGGAAAGUCGGGUUCAUCCGUGAGGUCCCCCUAUAAAAAAUUCCUGGAACAUGUAUAUUGUUGAGGGAAUUUUUCUCUCCCCCGUGGAGCCCCUUGAUUUGUGAGAUGUGUAUGUGGUGUGUGCGAAAGAAAAAUGAUCCCCCCUCCUGAUUGUUUUUUUUUUCUGUAUAUAUUUAUGGAUAUAUAUAUCUUUAUGAAAUUGGGAAAAGAUAAAAGAAAGGGAAUCUUUUUGGUGGUCCCCCUAAAUGGAAAAUUAUUUGUGAUUUGGUUAAAAGAAAUGAAAAGAAACGUGAGGGGGUGGUGACGUUGGGUGUAGGGGUGAGGGGGUAUCUUGUUAGGAUAAGAUAAAAUUAGUUAGGGGUUGUUAUUUUUUGUUCUUUUAUGAGGAAUAAUUACACGAUUGGUGGUGCACGGUAGUAUAAGGUAAAAAUAGGAAAAUUAAUCUUUCAUAGGGAUAAAAUUACGUGUCUACAUCAUGCCCCUUUUGAAUGUAAACACAGAGUGUUUUCAUACAAAGAAGUAGACAACGAGUCAGAAUUUUGUCUCGAUCAUUAUUCAAAGGAAGAAAUAGAAGGAAGAAGGACAACCAAAUCUUGACUUAGGACAACCUACCUACCCAAGUUAUGGGGGAAUCAAUUGACAGGUAUCUCAAAAAAUUGGAAGGAAAUGGACUAUACCGAGUUGGAGAGUCGAGAGAGGUUUCAUCGAGGUUUCGGUCCGCGGCUCUGUAAUUACAUCAAAAUGAAAAUUACAAGUUAAUACAUAAAUGAAAUUACAAAAUCCUAUCUAUACAGCUUCUGUUGGACUCUUGACUUAAGUCUCAUCACUCUAUUCUUCAGGCGGGUUCCUGACUUGCAAUUUCAUCACUUGUUGUUUGGUUUUCAAUUGCUUCGCUUCAUUGCUCGACUCUCAUUUGUUCUCCCUGCUCUUCCGGCGGGCUUCUCACUUGCCAUUUUUAUUUUUCAAUUUCAUUAACCUGCUCUUCAGGCGGGUUACUGACUUGCAAUUUCUUCCAUUUCCCAUUUCAUCACCCUGUUCUUCAGGUGGGCUCCUGACGUACAAUUUUCUCACCCGGUUCUUCAGGCGGGCUCCUGAAAUCAAACUAAGAACUAGAAAUAAAAUUAUCCCCAACAAAGAUUAAGAUUAAGAGAGACUUCAUUUUUCUGAAAGUAAUGUCCCAUUUUUCAGGAGGGUCCUGAACAUAAAGUAAUGUCCCAUUUUUCAGGAGGGUCCUGAACAUAAAGUAAAUUUCCAUUUUUCAGGAGGGUCCUGAACUGAAAGUGAAAUCCCAUUUUUCAUGAGGGUCCUAAACAAAAAGUAAAAUCUCAUUUUUCAGGAGGGUUCUGAACAGAAAGUAAAAUCCCUUGGACAUGCUUUCCAAUGACAACAAAACUUUGCCCUUGUUUCAUCAAAAAAAAAAAUUUCAGUUGAAAACUUAGUGCAGCGGAGAUGGCUUGAACUAUUAAAGGACUAUGAUGUUGAUAUCUUGUACCAUCCAGGGAAAGCAAAUGUGGUAGCUGAUGCGUUAAGUCGUAAGGCUAUGAUGGCGCCUAUAGAAAGGCAAGGGAUGGUUAAAGAUCUUCACCAGUUAGCUAGUUUGGGAGUUCGCCUUCUUGAAACUCCGAAUAAAGAGCUUAUCGUACAUAAUGCUGCGGAAUCUUCAUUAGUAGCUGAAGUGAAAGAGAAGCAAUAUGCAGACCCUAUUUUAUUACAGCUUAAGGAGAACGUUCAGAGUGGUGCGACCAAGGCAUUUGAGCUUACGCGAGAAGGAGUACUUCAGUGCCAAAACCGAUUGUGUGUGCCGGAUAUAGACGGGCUAAGAAAGAAGAUUAUGACAGAGGCACAUUUUUCAAGGUAUUCCAUUCAUCCAGGAUCAACCAAAAUGUAUCAAGAUUUGAAAGAUAUGUAUUGGUGGAAUGACAUGAAGAAGAGCAUUGCAGAAUUUGUAGCUGAAUGUCCAAAUUGUCAAAGAGUUAAAGUUGAGCACCAAAAACCCGGAGGCUAUAUGCAAUGCAUAGAUCUUCCAAUUUGGAAGUGGGACAUGAUCAACAUGGAUUUUGUUACAGGUUUGCCUCGUACAGCUCGAAAAUUUGAUUCUAUAUGGGUGAUUGUGGAUAGGCUUACUAAAUCCGCACAUUUCUUACCCGUUAAGACCACUUACACAGUUGAAGAAUAUUCGAAGCUGUAUGUUAAAGAAAUAGUCCGAUUACAUGGAGUGCCAACUUCUAUUAUAUCGGAUCGGGGAACUCAAUUUACUGCAAACUUUUGGAAGUCUUUCCAACGGGGUUUGGGAACACAAGUGAAUCUGAGUACAGCUUUUCACCCUCAGACGGAUGGACAAGCAGAGCGCACCAUUCAAACACUUGAAGAUAUGCUACGAGCAUGUGUUAUAGAUUUUAAAGGCAGCUGGGAUGAUCAUUUACCUCUUAUUGAGUUUGCCUACAAUAAUAGCUAUCAUUCAAGUAUCAAAAUGGCACCAUAUGAAGCUUUAUAUGGGAGAAAGUGUAGAUCACCAAUAGGAUGGUUCGAAGCGGGUGAAACUCUUAUGUUCGGACCGGAUCUUGUGUAUCAAGCCAUAGAAAAAGUCAAGGUGAUUCAGCAACGGUUGAAAACAGCCCAAAGUCGACACAAGUCAUAUGCGGAUAGUAGAAGAAGAGGGCUAGAAUUUUCGUUAGGCGAUUGGGUAUUUUUGAAGGUAUCGCCAAUGAAAGGGGUGAUGAGAUUUGGCAAGAAAGGAAAGUUGAGUCCACGAUAUAUAGGCCCGUAUAAAAUUAUUCGAAGAUGUGGGCAAGUUGCUUAUGAAUUAGAUCUACCCCAGGAACUAUCAUCAGUGCAUCCAGUAUUUCAUGUAUCGAUGCUUCGAAAGUGCAUCGGAGAUCCGUCCCUUAUUACUUCUACUGAAGAUGUGCAAGUAACAGCAGAUCUUACCUAUGAGGAGAUGCCUAUUGCUAUAUUAGAUCGACAAGUUAAGAAGAUGAGAAAUAAAGAAGUAGCAUCGGUGAAAGUACUUUGGAGAAAUCAACAAAGGGAAGAGAUUACAUGGGAAGCUGAGGAAGCAAUGAAAUCUAAGUACCCUCAUUUGUUCAAAGAUGAAGAGGAAGUUCAAGAAACGGAGUUAGAACAUUAACAAGUAAGUUUUUGUUUAUAUAUGCAUAGUAUUUAUGUGAUGAUGUGAAUGUUAAUGGUGGACUUGAACUUGUUUCGGCUAAAUAACUACAUUCACAUUCGAGGACGAAUGUCCUUAAGGGGGGAAGGAUGUAACACCCCGUACUUAAUUACGUGCAUUAGUCAUUGUUAUAUGUGUUGGAGUAUAUGUAUUGAUCCUAAGUUAGGUAUAUAUGAGUUUAAGUAUGAGUAUUGAUUAUUUUGAGAUGGUUUCAAGUGUAUAGUUUGAUUAUAGGUGUAUAGGAAUCGACUUUAUUUAUAUCGGAAUUUUCCCGUCGAUGGUUCCAUACGAAGGUUAUUGAAUAAGCUUUCCAACGAUAUAAAGAUUUCCAAAAACGGAUAAGUUUCGGAUAUAAGCGAGCUCGUUCGAAACUUUAAAACGGUGGCCGGGAUGUGAACAGUAAAAUGUGCAGGAAACUACUGAGGCCUGCCAGUUUUUUGGGUCAACUUUGAACGAUCAUAACUCCCUCAAUAUAAUGAACUGGUUGAGCUACCAUAUAUCAAAAGAAAGAUCUUUGAGUCUUCUUUCCAAUGAAAUUGGUUUCAUCCAAAUCCAACAUCUGAGUAAGGAGUUAUACUCGUUUUACUUCAGCCUCUCAAAACAGAUUUUUAGGGUCAACUUCAAACGAUCAUAACUACUUGUACAGGACGAACUGGGUGGAUUAAUUUAUAUUAAAUGAAAGACCUUUGAAUUAUCUUUCUAACGAUACCAAUUUCACCCAAAUCCGAUAUCGGAGCAAAGAGUUAUGGCCGAUUUACUUUAGCCUAUCAAAACAGUCCACCAUGGACAGAUUCGGAUUUACUUAAAUUUUUAAGGGCAAUAUGGUCAUUUUCCAUCACCUCAUGGACGAAAAUUGGUCAUUAUAUACAUAUACUUAGCCUUAUAUCCACCAUUUAUCAUCCAAAUCAUUGAAGAAUAAGAAACCCUAGCCUAAGUUCAACUCCAAUUAUCUUGUGAUUCAACCGUAGAAAAUCCAAAUUGAUUCCGUAGUUGUGUUCACCGUCUCAAGGGCUUCGAGAAGCACCCCUUAUUUGUGCCAACAGGACUUCGAAAUCAAAAGGGCCAUUUUUUUUGGUAAGGAUGUAAAUUAUGUUGGUGUUAUUUAUAUGGAUAUGUAUAUAUAUAUAUAUAUGCAUGUGAGCAUAAGAAGUAUGUUAUUUGAUUGUUGUUGAAAGAUGAUUGGAAAUGAUGUUGGAUUAUUCUUGUGCAUGGUUGGAUUAUGUUAAAUUGUGAAGGAAUUUGGGGUGAUGAUGUGGUAUUGAUGAUGUGGUAUUGAGAUGAUGAUUAUAUACAUAUACACACAUAAACCUAUUGUUCAAGUUGGUUUUUGGAAUGUUUUGCAAAUAUUGGUAGUAUGGAAUUAUGGAAGAGAAUUGUGGUGUUGGGUUGCUAAUACUAGAUGCCAAACAUUUCAUUGUAGAUAAGUGAUUUGUAAAGGCGGGAAGUUGUGUUGAAUUGGUAUCUGAAUCUACAACGAGGUAUGUAAAGCAUACUCUAACAAUGUUCUUUGGCAUGAAAACACCAAUGUUCCAUCAAGUAAGAUUCCGAGGUUGUCCAAAAACAUGUAUUGUUCUACGUUACCAACGAAGUUGUUUCCAUCCUAUAAAGUGUCAAAAUGUUCAUUGAUAUACCAAAAGGCUCUUAUUUCAUUGUUGUGAUAUUGAUGAUUCUGAAACAUAUUGUUGAUGUACCAAUGAGUCCUUAUUACAUCGUUAUUGUAUAGAAGGUCUAUUACUUGGUUCCUAUUGAUGUAUCAUUGUUUCAAGGUAUCAAAAAUGUGGUGACGACCGAAAUAACAAUCUCAAAGAUUAAUUGAACUAAGUGAUGAAAGUUCUCUCUUAUCGGGUGGUAUCCCAGGGGCAUAAGCCUAGCAUGGGUCGAUCCCUAUUUCAUGUGUUUAUGGGUGGUAUCCCAGGGGCAUAAGCCUAGCAUGGGUCGAUCCCAGUUGAUAUGUACUGGAGGCAUCCUAAUGGUCACAGUACAGUACAGUAAUGAUUACAAAGACGAUAAGAACGAAGGUAAAGUGAUUGAAUAAAUACAAUGUACAGGUUGUCACAAGUUCUAGUAAGUGUGGUCCACUCCUAUUACGACUUAUUCACUUGUUUCUGAUUUCUAUUGAGCUCCUAUAUCAUAUGUGAUUAUUUACAGCUUUACAUACUCAGUACAUAUUUCGUACUGACGUCCCUCACGGGGGACCUGCAUUUCAUGCUGCAGGCACAGGUACCUCAACUCAUACACCGCACAAGUAGGAGCCAGGUCAUACAGCUAUUGUUGGUGAGCUCCAGUUUGCUUCGGAGCUUUCCGAGUCGGUUCCUUAUGUUUUGUUAUUGUACAUGAGUCACGUGUGGGCGGGGGUUUGUCCCGACCCUAGUUAUGUCAUGUAUAUCCUAGAGGCUUUGUAGACAUAAGGAAGGGUAAAGUCAUGGAAGUUUAUAUAGUAACGUUAUAUUUGUAUAUGUGGUGGCCCCGACGGCCAAGUAUUAUAUAUAUAUAUUUGUGCGUGUUGUGCUGAUACAGGUAAUUAGACCUUUCUAUAUGCAACGAAGUGCUGUCCAAUUUUUUUGGUGACAUGUAAGUGAAAGUACAGGUAUUUGAACGGGUUCUCCCGGGCCUUCUCGGCUUCGGGUGCCAGUCCGGCCCGAUGGGAUUUUGGGGCGUGACAGAACAACAUUGGAUAACCAUAUAGGAUAACGAGCCACUCGAAUAACUUUGGCUUCAAGUUGUUUCAUGAUUUCCUCUUUGAUUUUGAUACUUACAUCAAUUUUAAACUUCUUCAACUUUUGUUUCAAAGGGGGGAAUGCAGGAUCAGUGGGCAAUUUAUGGGCCACUAAUUCGGUGCUUAGACCAGGCAUAUCAUCCUUAGACCAUGCAAAAACAUCCUUGUAAUCAAUUAAUGCUUGAAUUAUUCCAUCUUUUAUCCGUGGCAAAGCAUGUACACUGAUUUUAGUUUCCUUAACAUCUUCUUGAUUCCCUAGAAAGUUUCAUUCAAAUUGAUAUUCGGUUUGCCUUCAAACUGUUCCAACUCUUUGCUUAUUUAUUCUAGUGCCUCUUCUUUAUCAUAUUCCCCCUCUUGCUUUCUUAUAUCUUGAUUAGUUUGGAUUUUAAGAUCAGGCUAAAAAUUUCGCAUGCAUGUCAUGUCAUUAGAAUCAGCAUAAAGAGAACUGUAUAAAGAAAAGGACAAAAACAAAAUAUAUUAGACACAAAAUAAGGGGACAUUGCAUUUCAUUAAAAAAGGGAAAGAUAGGAGGGUUUAAACACAAAUGACAACAGAAUAUAAACAAGCUAAACUUUGAAUCACAACCCUGGAAUGACUCGAAUAAAUAGAAAGAAAAACAAAUGAACUACCAAAACUCCCUCCUUACAGGGAGAAGAGUGACUUCCCAAUUGUUGAGCUGGACCUCAGGACCUAUGAACAAUACAUCCGCCUUACUGGUACCCUCUCUUGUUUCAACCAUUACAACAUCAAUCAGUAGGUUCUGGAAGUCACCAACCAAUUCAGCUUCAAAUUCUAAUGGUUUCGUGACAUUGCUCUUGACAAAUGAUUCCCUGAGUAGCAGCAUUGGGCAAGGGAGUGACCAUGUUUCCUUUUUCCUACCCUUGGCCUUCUUCAAAUCUUUAGCCAUAGGUUUAAAUCCCAGACCAAAAGUGCCCAUAAUCUCUCUCGGACAUAUGGGAUAAACGAUAUCGUGCAGAGACAUUCCCAAACCCUUCCCUGGCAUAAAUCCAUAUUUCAAAAGCUCACUUACCAUCAUAAUAGAAGCGGAAGACAAUUGUGGUCCCGGGAUAACCUGUCCUUCAAGGAUACGAUCUACUGGCACUGUAUCAAAAGUUUGAUAGAAAAAUGUCUCUUCUACAUUAUUUGCUUCAAUAAGGGACAAGGGAGAAUCUUCGUAGGCGGACAAAUCCCCUUCACCAUGAAUAAGCACUUUUUGCCUGUCAUGCUCAAACUUUAUCAUUUGGUGCAAUGUAGAUGCCACCACCUUGGCCUUAUGAAUCCACGAUCUUCCCAACAACAGAUUGUAAGAGGAGUCUAUAUUCAAUACUUGAAACUCUAUAGUGAACUCAACAAUCCCUAUAAUCAACAUUAGUUCUAUUUCGUCAAUGGAGUUUGAUUUUGCACUAUCGAAAGCCUUGACACAUACAUUGUUGGGUCUGAUCCUCUCCACACCAAUAUUAAACUUUUGUAAAGUAGAAAUAGGGCAGAUAUUUGCACCUGAACCUCUGUCAAUCAUGACAUGAGUGACAUAGAAAUCUUCGCACUUCACCUUAAUGUAAAGACCUCGGUUAUGCCCCGAACCUUCAACAGGCAACUCAUUGUCAGAGAAGCUGAACCAAUUGACCUCAAAUAUUUUUUCAACCAUUUUCUCAAGAUGAUUUACUAUAAUCUCCCUAGGAACAUAUGCUUCAUUUAAUAACUUUAGUAUAAUAUCACGAUGUUCCUUGGAAUUCAACAACAAAGAUAAGAUGGAAAUUUGAACUAGGGUUUUCUCCAACUGAUCUAUUAUUGAAUACUCUGGCAACUUCAUCUUUUUCAAAAAUUCUUUGGCUUCUUCUUCGGUGACAGGCCUUUUGAUAGACGAAGGUCCACUCACAAUUGACUUGGACUUCCUUAAACUUUCAGGCAUGAAGCAUCUUCCUGACCGAGUCAGACCCCCUACCUCAUCUACAUAUUCCACUACUUUCUUCCCCUGAUAAGUCAUCACAGUCCGCUCAUAGUUCCAGGGAACCUUUUUCGUAUCAACUAUCGGAGGUUGGGUUAUCGGUUUGAUGAUAAUAGGCACCGCAAGUGCUACUUUUACCGUCAAUAUAGGCUUACACGGAGCUCCUAUCACCGUCAACUUAGGCUUGUCUUAACUUAAACCAACGACUGCUCUGAAUUCUUUCACUGUAAUCACGGGUUUCUUUGUGCUUUCUUGGACUUUAGCUUUUCGUGUUCCUUUCUGGAUUAAUGACAUUGCUUUCAACGAAUCAGCUACAUUCACCAAUUUUUCCUCAUUGGUUUUUAUCUUGACAAUAGGCUUAUAACACCUUAACGACUCUUUCUCAUCAUAUAUCAAUUCUAACAUAUUGGUUUCAGCAUGGGUUAGUAGCAGAUUCUGGUUAAUGUUUGGAACCUCCGGGGCCUGGACCAGCAUUUGAUUUGUGUCAAUUAAAUCUUGGACAACUCUCUUUAUAUGCCAGCAUUUCUCGAUAUCAUGGCCUGGCAUGUCAGAACAGUACGCACACCUUAAAGAAUAAUCGAGAUUCCUCGAAGGUGGAUUUGUAAGCCUUCCCUGAAUUGGGCUUAAGAUCUUCAUCUUUCUCAACCUAUCAAACAAGCUAGCAUAUGACUCCCCAAGAGGUGUGAACUAAUUUUUGACCGCCUUCUUCUUCUUGUACUCGGGCCUGGGUUGAAAACUGGGUCUAGAGGGGUUUUGGUAAUUUGGAGGAGCUGAUGGACGAUUUUAUGGAGCUUGCACGCGCCAUUGCGGGUAAGAAUGGGUUUGGGCAUAUGGCUUCGUGCUAUAUACUGGGUACAGGGGUGGUAGAAUAGAAUAUAAUAGGUUUUGUGGAGGGUAGUAAUGGUGGGGAGGAAUAUAUGGAGCUUAGGCGUAGACUUGGGCUUGGGAUUGGGGAUAGGGGGAAGGCGGUCUUUUGAUAUAGGAAUGGGCUCCAGCUACAACGGUCGCCACGUCCUCUUUCUUUUUUUAACCUCCAAACGUACCAGAUCCACCUUGAAUCGCUUGUGUGGUGGCCUUCAACGCGGAAAAACUCACUAUUCGACUGGUCUUAAUUCUGUCCUCUAUCAUCUCUCCCAUUUUAAGAACUUCAAUAAAAGACUUUCUCAUUGCCGAAAGUAAAUGCUGAAAAUAAGUCUCAUCUUGUAUUUGAAUGAAGACCUCUACCAGCUUAGUCUCCUUCAUUGGGGGCUUUACCCUGGUAGCCUGUUCACGCCACCUUAUCGUGUAUUCCCUAAAGCCUUUAGUGCUUUUCUUCUUCAUGUUGACCAAGGAUUUUUUUUUGGAAUCAGGUCGAUAUUAUACUCAAAAUGUUGUACAAACUCAGAAGCUAAGUCAUCCCAGCUAUUCCACUUGUCAAUAUCUUGAUCGACAAACCAUUCUGAAGCCAGAUCGAAAAGACUCUCGCCAAAGAAAUCCAUAAGCAACUUUUCCCUUCCACCUACAGCCCUCAAUUGGUUGCAAUAAUGUCUCAAGUAUGCCACAGGAUCACCAUGCCCAGCAUACUUAUCGAACUUAGGCAUUUUAAAACCGAGGGAAAGGUUGACGUCUGGGAACAUGCAAAGAUCUUUAUAGGAAACACUCUUAUAACCUCCGAUUCCCUACAAAUUCCUCAUGGCCUGUUCCAAACUUUUCAAUUUCCGCACUAUAACUUCCUGUUCCUCUGUUGCGACAGGUUUCUCCGUAUUAAAUGUAAAUGCAGGUGGCUGAGUGUACCCAUAUGGUUCAUUCAUUCUCAAAGUAGGUUCCGGGGCAUAAUACUGACUAUCUGAAAUCUUUAAUACUGGCUCGCUAGCAGAUCAAGGAAGCACCAUUGUCGGACACAUAACAUAGGUGGGAGCUUCAGGUGGUGGCGGAGCCACGAAAAUAGGUGCUACCGAUGGCGCUGGCUGAGCAGCGGGCGUUGAUUGGGGAACUGCCAAAGGCACACUAGAAGUGCCAGGAUAAUAUUACCGUGGAGUGAAUCCUGGCGCGUGUUCCGGUGACUCCAUGGAAGCAGAGAAUUGAGCCUGAAAAGUGGUGGGCAGUUAGAGAUAUUCCCAAGAUCUUCAGGGAGCGGAGGAGGAGGCAUGCCACUAGCCCAUGCUUGGUACAGAUCUAUUAAUUGUUACCUGACUCUUAGAACCUCAUCAUUGCAUUUUGAACUUUCCUCUCAGGGAUCCUAAUCUGGGUCAAUGAGCGAAUUUUCAAUCUCUCUACUAGCCAUGACGAGCUUUGUUUUUGAUUUAGAGAAGUACGGGUGACUAGCCAGAGUACUGUAAACCAACCACUAUUAUAUGGAAGAAGAUGCUCAUCAAAGACAACACCAGUUAGGAUUAGGUCACACAACAAGCAUGGGAAUCACAUUGGUAAAAUUGUCCUAGAUUCAUGUUCAUUUCUACCAGCCUUUGAGGGUAGCGAGGUGAUUUUAACAUCAUCCCGAUUUUCAUCUACACUCAUUUGCUUCUUUCCUCCAACCACACCUCUUUUCUUUCACCCUCACUUCUCUUUUCUUUCGCAUCAGUCACUUUCCUUCCUUUUUUCGUCUCAUCAUCCUUUCUUUCUUUUCUUCUCUCGCUAUCUACCUUCUUUUAUCAUUCUUUAUGGCUUUUGCUUUUCUUUAGAAUAGGAAAAAUAAUGAAACAAAAUGAUUAGAUCAAGCCCAAAAGUAGGUUGCCUACGUAUCAUGUUGUACAUGAAUCAGAUCUUGCGUAGUUUGGGAUGCAUAUGCAUAAACAUCACAUAAUUAAGGGUUUUUUUUUCACGAAAAACGAAAAACAAACAAACAAAAAAAAGACGUAACAUUAUAACAUUUUGAUGAAACAAACAACAAAAACAUACAACGAAAUUAAGACAACCUCGAUACUAAUCAACAAAGACUGAAUGACAUUCUAGACUAACAUGACAACAUACAUAAUGAUCCUAAUAAAGACUCCAAAGUUAAAGCAAACUUAACACCGACUUAAAAAAGAUACAAUACUACAAAUGGCAGAAAAGUAAAGGACUUAAAGUAAACAAAAGAUAGGAAAUGCUCCUUCAAACUGGGACUCUGCCUGAUGACCCUGGCUGAGAUGGACCUGCCUGUGAAGUUCUCUUUUUCCCAUUCAAACUAUAUAGCAUAUCUUGUAAGGACCCUUCGAUAUUUGGAAAGAUGCCUCUGGCACGUAUUCCUUCCUCAUGAGGAGUACACUUGAAAAUCCUAUUCUGACACCCCUCCAUAGUUUUGAGCAAACCUAAUAACUGACCCCUUAGUGCCUCUACUUUGGCCCCCGCCCCUUCAUCCUGAUGGUCGCCAACUAUGCAUUCAUCUUGCAUCCUUCCUCUAAGCUGCACUGGUAAUGGUAUGCUGAUACCCCGAGGAAUAGAUUGUAACCAGAUUCCAUAUUCUUGAGUGUAUUCGGGAUUAUCGAAACCUUCCCUGAGAGUAUCCAUGCCCUGCCAUGUUGCAUUACUCCAGAAUUGCUCAUACUUGAUCUCACCCCUGGCUUGGUCUGUAAAGUACCCAAUUGACGUAUUACCCUAAGAGGAGCGUAUGGUCCGGUACAAUUAAGCCCCAAUAAAACUAGAUGGAGGUGUAUGCUCGAUCCAACCAAGAUUACUUUCGGUCGGAACCAUAGAUAGGUCCACAAGACAUUGCUAUCUGUUCUUGAUUCAAGAAACUCAACCCAAGCGUCGACUUCUAUAAGCAAUGAGAAUUUAGCAAAACCCAUUUUAUGUUCUAUGGUUUCCACUCGACUAGGCAGACAACGGUCAAUCACAUCAAAUUUAAGCAAAGAAGGGGCAUGCAAAUGCUCCAUCAUCCGUAGUUGUAACACUAGGUUGCUCCCCUAAAAAAAUUGCAUACCCCCUUUUAUCUCGGUCAAAGCUUUGUAUAUUUUCACCAAGAUCAGAGGCACGAUAGGGACCUUGUCUCCCUUGUCCUUGUUAAAUAAGGACAUCGCUAUAGAUUGCAACCGAGUAUUAAUACGCCUAUCUUCCAGGGGGAAUACCAAAGUUCCUAACAGAACAAAAGCGAAGACUUUAAGGCGACAUUUAUCCCAAUUCUUCUUGGUUGUAUAAAAUUCAUCCCAAAAAUAAUCAAAACCGUCUAGGAGGCCAAACCGAGAAUACAAGUAAUCGAAAGAGAUCCAAGAUUGGUUAAGAAAACCCAGAUGGUCAUUAACUUUCAACCCAUAAUAGUGGAGAAACCUAUUGGGAGAAUGACACCGCGCUUGAAUCAUCAUCUUUUUAAUGUAGGGCAAUUUAAAUAAACCAGGUAUAUCCGCUAGGGUAGGUGUCAUUUCACAACUUUCGAACCUAAAAACUAGACAAGUUGGAUCCCAAAAAGUCAAUGCAGCCUCAAUCAAGUUUGGACGGGGUAUGAUAGACAAGAGAGAAGUUAGAGUGCCUAGCUUCUUUGAUAACUCAUGCCUUUCAGAGUAGUUGAACGUGCCCCACUUGAUUAACUUUUUGGGCACUUUAGAAACCAUUAGGACUUUAGACCUUGGAGGCAGAUCCAUCCUGUAACAACACACAAGGCUUAUGAUUUAACAAUUGAUAAAAAGGGAGAAGUUCCCGACCCUCAGGAUUUUGACACGGACAGGUUAUCAUGAAGAAACAAACCACUUUAGACUCAGAUUAAAACAAAUGGUACCACUAAGUGCGGUCAGCCUACUUGGCCAAGAUUAAUCGACGACUCUAGACCAGACUAAAAAGGGGGAGACCCCAAGCUAAGACUAAAAUAGUGACCAAAAUAAAAUUUACCAGACCUAUCGAGGGUUGCCUAUGUAUCCCGCCUCGAAGGACGAGAAUCAGGUACGCGUAGUUCGUCCAGCUUGGAAAAUUAAGGAUUAAAUGACAAACUAAACCCUAAAUUGAGUGACACGACUAAAGACAGACGAAUAAAAUCUUUUUUUGAGUUUUAAUUAGAAACUAACACUAACAACUAUGAAAGAAAAAUCUUUUUGAUAAUGUCGUUAUAUAAAAAUGUACAAAGUUCCUAUAGAAAGGAAAAAAAAUAUUUUUGGAUUUUUCGAAUUGUGAAUACUUACUAAAGAAACAAAAGAAAAAUCUUUUUAACUUUUUUAUUUUUUGAAAAAUUAGUGCAAAAGUAAAAAAAACACACUUUUUUUUUUAAAUUGUGAAAAAGAAAAGCCAUAAAGAACACUAAAAACUAUCAAAAUUUCUUUUUUUCACUCUUUUUUUUUCUUCCUCUUUUUUUUUUCAACAAUUUCUUGCCUACACACUUUCUUUCUAACUCAUACUUUUGGCCAAAUCAGUCUGUCAAAUGACCUCGUUACCCUCAAAGAUGCAACAUUUAGCACGUAGGGAUGCUUCAGAGGUGAGUCUCCUACAAAGAUCCACGUGGAUCCCGCUAGAUCUCAAUAUGAUGCAAAUAAGCAUGACCUAAAGGCUGACCUACGCUGGGGUUUACUACUAAGGCUGUUCAGGGGAGCGUAUGGUUGAUAGUGGCUGCGGUAGCUUUCUACCCACCCCAUACCAGCCGACGACUCCCCCUCCUAAAAAUAAGGGUGACUCAACUAUAGGUCGUGUACACAACGUGUACUAUAGAACUUAUUACAGAAAGAAUUGACUCGGGUUAUACAAAUGAUGCCAGAUAUAAAGCGGUAACACAUAAGAGAAAAACUGUAAACACGUAGCACGCAAACACUCCACAAUGAUAAACAAAUACAAAAAAUAACACAAACAAUGUUUAUAUACUCAUAAUGUCAAAUCUAAGCCGAUAUAACUCCAAAAAUUAGCUCGAAUUCUGAAAAGAUUCUCCAGCAGAGUCUCCAGAGCUGUCACACCCCUCUUUUAACUUUCAAAAAGAUUAGAUUUUAUGGUUCGAAAGGGUUUUUAUUAUUAAAGUGACAAAAAUGAAGAUUUUGUUUCAAAAAGGAUUAUUUACAUUUAAACUCAGAGUCGCCACUUGGCAUAAUCCGGUGUGCCAAGUCACCGUUGGAAAUCCUUUUUCAAAAAUGAUUUCGACUCUUUUAAACUGAUCCACGAAUAGAGAUUCCGAUUAAGGAAUUCUAUUGACCGAAGGAAAGGUGUUAGACACCCCUCGAUCUCAUGGUUCGACCAUGGUCGCUUGGUGGAGCAUAUCGGUUAAUUUGGCACUAUGAAUGUAUAAACUACAUAAAACACAUAAAAACAAGCAACAAACAAAUCAAACAAAGUUAAAAAUCAAAAUAAUGUCCAGUCCUAGUCAUACAGUCUCAAAUAGAAAAAUUGCAAAAAAUAUAAAUCCUAUUCUAUACUACCCCUAGACUAAGCUCCAUCCGCCGCCUCGGGCCUUCGUCACGAACGUCCUCCGGGUACAAAAUACUUUGGGGCAUUUCCCGGCAAAUAAACACAAAUACCUCGGGGCAUUCCCUAACCGAAUGAAUACAUCUGAAUUAAAUAAGCUAACUAAAAAACGUUCAAAACACACAUUUAAACGUUCAAAGCAUUCAAUCAACACAUCACUCCUGAAUUUUUGCCUACCCGAACCUAUAUUGCCUAUCCAUUUCAAAAUAUCAUAAAUCUAUCCAUUCAUGCUUAUUUCGAAUUAAACAAAAAGAAAACAAAUGAAAAUUAACCUACAUUCAACUUCUAUCAAUUUCUCAAUUCCACCCCCUGCUAGCUUCGUUUUUAUCAAUUACACCAAAAUUACUCCAAUUCGUUUCACAUAUUGCCGAAAUCAUGUCGUCAAGCACAUAACCAUAUCAUCAUAAUAUCAACAAAAUCCAACAAUUAUGACCACACCACACAUAAUCACAACCAAUUCAACCAAUCAAGAUUAAAGAGAACGAGUUAAAGAGAUGGACCUCGAUAGAACUUAAUUUUCUUGAUAAUAAAAAAAAUUCGAGACCGAAAUUCUCGAAUAAGAACCCCAACGACGAAUGAACCAAAAUUAGUAUAGAGAAACAACCCAAACAGAUUAAGAACCAAUGGAAAAUCUCAAAAUAGACGAACCCAGCCCUGUAUCAAAAACCCUAAAGCACGAUAUCGAAAGAUAAAUCGCAAACAAACGAGAACAAAAGUCUCCAAAAUUCAAGCAAUAGCUGAAAACCAGUCCAAACUUUAGCUCCAGUGAGCUAUGGGGGGAGAAAGCUGAUGGAAAAGGUCAGAUUUCGGCGACACAGUAACUUGAAACCAAAUUUCAUUUCCCCUUUCGAUUCUCCCCUCUAUCUCUCACUCGAUUUCACCCUCUCUUCCCCUCCGAUUCUCAAAUCUUCCUCAGAUCUAUGUGUGUACUGAUAUGUCGAUGGGAGGUCCAAGAUGGUCGGAGAUAUGAUUGUGCGUGUGUAUGAGAUGAAGAUGAUGAUAAAACGCCCUUCAAUAUUGGUUCAUAUAUCUGUAUAUGUACUCAAUCAAGAAGAAAACCAAAAGGGGAAAGUCGGGUUCAUCCGUGAGGUCCCCCUAUAGAAAUUUCCUGGAACAUGUAUAUUGUUGAUGGAAUUUUUUCUCUCCCCCGUAGGACCCCUGAUUUGUGAGAAAGAAAAAUGGUCCCCCC
rnacentral:lncRNA from 1 species